rnacentral:lncRNA from 1 species
GAGACAGCACCGCCGGGCUGUGAGACGGAGAGUCCUGGCAACCCUUUCUCCCGUUCUAGACCUCAGUGCCUGUUCCGGAAUCUAAUGGGCAUUUCAUUUCCCGAUCUCCUGGCUGUGGUGGACCGCAGUAUUUGCGGGCAAGUCAAAUUCGGCCUCAGAAAGGGGGUCAGGCUCAGUCAUCAGUCACUAACAACCCUGCUGGAGAGAACCAAGUCUGAAGCCCUAGUUGUAAUAACAUCACGUUUUCAUUUAGUCUUACCUGGCCUAUUGUAUUUGGCAUUAUUCUUCCUUUAGCGUUACGACAUACACUGGGGCAAGGGUCGUUCUACUCAAGAGACAGAUCGGGGAAGGGGAGCCAGAGUCAAAUCAAGUAAAUCUUCUGUAACUACACCGCCAGGCAUCCGGAACUGGUGCUGGUCCAUGCUUUUAGCAAACUGCUCUUGCCUAACUGCAAACUAAAACUUGCCAUGUUGUUCUGAGGCUCUAGCCUAUUAAACCAAAAGAUCAGUAAAUCAAGCCAUCUAAAGGAAAAAGACAUGGGAUGCAUGCUUCAUUGCUGAAUCAGGAAGAGUGAACAGACUAAAAUCAAAUGAUGCCAAUCUGAGAGCUGCAGUUUUGCAACCUCUGACUUUACACAAAAUUUUGAAACAUCAUAAAACAAACUAUUCAAUCCUGGAACACUGAAUCGUUCAUUUAGGGAGUUCAGCUCCUGAAUCACAGCUCUAUGAAUGAAAUGGAAGAAGAUGGUUGAAGUCCACUAAAGUAUGUCUCAAAUUUAAUCUACUUUCAAGGUUUAAUUUGCAGUCAUGUAUAGUAACCAACGAUUUCUUAUAUGUUUAACAGCUUAGCCUUACUUGGCCCAAUGAGGGGUUCUGUGGUUAAGAAAGCCAUUGUUUUGAUUAAUUCAUUUCAUUGGAGUUGAGUGUUAACUGUAGCUAAGCGCUGGUAGGGACUUUGAGGAUACGAAAGAAAUACGAUGUGAUUCCUGGCUUAAUAGCCUGUGGUUUGCAAACGUCAACAGCAUAUGAAACAACUAGGAAGUACUUUAAAGCAAGAUAUGACAAUGGUGCCAAACUUAAUUUAUAAUUUAUUUUCUCCAAAGGUAAUAAUACUACUACAUAUUUGCAGAGCAUUGUAGUUUUCAAAACACUCCUUCACUUGAAUUAUUUGAGGGAAAUAUUGCUUUGACUUGCCUUAAUGUGGUUCUUCAUAGUGUUACAGCUAGAACUAUUGCUGGGCCCUGGUAUAAGCAUAGGAAUGAGAGAGGUGGAACAGAGAUGGAAGAGGAUCCAUGGAGAGAAAGUGGUUUAAACAAAGAGGCUGAGACAAGAUUGAGCACUUAGUAUCUGGGGAAUAAUGUGGAUCAUGGUUCAAGCCAGAGCAGAGAUAAGGGAGAAUAGCAUUGUGUAGAUGACCUGAUCAGGACCAGUCCUGAGCCCUUCAUGUUUGUGGGGAAAAGUGUUCAAAAGCUGGAUAUUGGGAACGUUAAUCUUACACUUCUAAUGAUCAGGUUGACUUUAGUUAAAGUAAAUUAAGAAUAGGGCAUGACUGAGGAGGCACUCCAGACUUCUUACAUCUUCCUGAAUGGAGAUAACCUUUUAGGUUUUCUCUCUCAUAAGGAGGAGCUGUCCCCCCAAACCCACCUCUACCUUACCCCUCAACUGGGAGGAGAUAUUAGUUUUCUGAUUAAAUGAUGAUAUCCUAGCCACUCACUGAAAUUGAACAAAGUGCUGACACUGUAGUGCUCCAUCUUUUGCCAUCUCUUAAUUGUAGUUCACUCUCGAGAAGAUUGAUUCCUUGUACAAGUGUUAUACAAUGUUCUGUAUCUCCACUGUAUAUGGAGAGCAUUGUAUUUGUAGAGUGUACUUAGGUGCUAUAUAUGUAUCCCUAUCAUUUUGUUUAAGUACAAUUUUCUUUUCUCCUAAACAAACGAAAAAGUCCAGGCAAAAACAGUGAUAACCAGAGUUCCCACUGUGGCUCAGCAGAAACAAAUCUGACUAGUAUCCAUGAGGACACAGGUUCCAUCCCUGGCCUUGCUCAGUGGGUUAAUGAUCUGACACAGCUGGGAUCCCAUGUUGCUGAGGCUGUGGCAUAAGCCAGUGACUAUAGCUCUGAUUCAACCCCUAGCCUGGGAACCUCUAUGUGCCUUGGGUGUGGUCCUAAAAAUACAAAAAACAAAACAAAACAGUAAUAACUAAUGUCUAAUUUCCUCUUCAAAUGUGUAAAAUGACACUGUUACACUGCCUGAUAGAGGUAGAAUGGCAAAAAGUGGUCAUUAGGGUUAUGGAGUGCAAGGAAUGAUUUUAAGAGAAGACAAAGUUUUUUGUCCAUUUUGUAGUUUUCAAAACUUUCCUGCCAGACAGCCCCAAAUUUUUUGUACAUAUUUUCUCAUGUGUGAUUAUUUUAGCCUUUUUUUUUCAGGUUUGAAAAUGUAUCUAAAACUUAAGUGAUUGUUGGUUAUUUGCUGAGAUUCAAACCUACCAUUGUUCUAUGUGCUAAUUGGGAAACUGGGUUUAAAAAAAUUCCCUCAGUACUAUCGUCACAGGUUGAAUCCCAGUCACUGGACUUCCAUGAUCACCCAGAAUUACCACUAUGAUUUUUCAAAUCAUAAUAUUUACCUAUUGCCAUAGACCAGGGGUUAGCAAACUGUGGCUUCUGUGCCUAAACUGGCCUGUCAUCUAUUUUUUUUUUUUUUUUUUUUGGUAUGAUCUGCAAGCUGAGUGAUUUUUACAUUUUUAAAUGGUUGGAAAAAUCAAAAGAAGAAAAAUAUGAAAAAUAUGUCUGUAAGUAAAGUUUUUAUACAGACAUGCUCAUAUGUUUUCUUGUUAACUAUGGCUGUUUCAUUUUAAAACAGCAGAGUUGAGUAGUUAAAACAGAGACUGUACAGCCUAUGGGCCUAAAAUAUUUACUAUUGGGCUCUUAGAAAAAGUUCUAAUUCUUACUAUCUCUAGAGGGUUCUAAUGAAUUAGUUUUGAUGGAAUGUUGGAAAUGAAACAGACUUUUGAAAUUAUGUACUGUUAAUUUAAAAAAAAAUCUUACAUUGAUAGAGUUAAGUGGUUUCUUCCUAAAAUCACAUAGUCAGUGGACAGAAUUUGUACUAGAACCCUGGUUUCACUGUUCCAAGGUUUUUUUCAUCCAUGUCCUGUCUUUUCUCAUGUAGAGUUUAUCUUAGGCAAGAAGAAUUAAUCAAAAACUUUCCUAAUUUUGGAGUUUCCAUUGUGGCUUAGCAGUUUAGGGAUAUAGUCUCUGUGAGAAUACGGGUUCAAUCCCUGGCCUCCAACAGUGGGUUAAGGAUCCAGCGUUGCUGCAAACUGAGGGGUAGGUCACAGAUGCGGCUCGGAUCUGAUGUUGCUGUGGCUGUGGCAUAGCCCUCAGCUACAGCU